rnacentral:rRNA from 1 species
UACGUAGGGGGCUAGCGUUGUCCGGAAUCAUUGGGCGUAAAGCGCGUGUAGGCGGUCCGGUAAGUCCGCUGUGAAAGUCGGGGGCUCAACCCUCGGAUGCCGGUGGAGUACUGUUGGGCUUGAGUACGGAAGAGGCGAGUGGAAUUCCUGGUGUAGCGGUGAAAUGCGCAGAUAUCAGGAGGAACACCGGUGGCGAAGGCGGUCUCUGGGCCUGCACUGACGCUCAUGCACGAAAGCGUGGGGAGCAAACAGG